UACGUAGGGUGCGAGCGUUGUCCGGAAUUAUUGGGCGUAAAGAGCUUGUAGGCGGUUUGUCGCGUCUGCUGUGAAAAUCCGGGCUCAACUCCGGACUUGCAGUGGGUACGGGCAGGCUAGAGUGUGGUAGGGGAGACUGGAAUUCCUGGUGUAGCGGUGGAAUGCGCAGAUAUCAGGAGGAACACCGAUGGCGAAGGCAGGUCUCUGGGCCACUACUGACGCUGAGAAGCGAAAGCAUGGGGAGCGAACAGG
rnacentral:rRNA from 1 species